GUUCAUCUAGCGAGUCCCAAAUAGGAUGAAACGCGCGUCCUGAAU
rfam:Schistosoma haematobium scaffold782_28, whole genome shotgun sequence.